rnacentral:lncRNA from 1 species
GGAGAAGCAAAGAACAAAACCACGGAAGGAAAAGGAAGAAAAUGGAAGAGAAAAAGAAAAAGAAGGAAGGGAUAGGUUCCAAUUUUACAAGGCUAGGUUCUCAAUUUCUCAUUUUCUCCCCUUAAUUUAGAGAGGUAAGUAUAAGAAUGUGAAAUUAUCUCCUUUAGGGUCUAUGAAACUUAUCUCUAAAACUUUGAAGUUAGCAAGAAUUAGGUGUUAUUGAUGUGUAUUCAAGGUUUUAAUUAAGAAUAUAGCAAGGAAAUAUUUAUUUGAAAAUUGAAGUUGAAGAAAGUAGAAUUUUGGAAAUGGGUUGUGAGAUGAAAGAUAUAUUCUUUGAGUUUCUUGUGAUUAUAUGAUGCUAAACACUCAAAUUAAGGAUUUGAGAUUUGAAUUCUCCAUUAUUUUAAAGCAAUUUUCAAGCUAUUAUAGUACAAGUGUUAAUUCUGAAAUUCUACCCAAAAAUGUCAAUGGUUUCGAUGCCAGAUUUCAAUAUAUAGAAAUUGGUGCUAGAUUUCUAUAUUCUGGAAUUUUAGUGCUGUUUUGUCAAACCUUGGAUUUCUAGAUUUUUAAAGUUUUGAAUGAAUUUAUAUGACAAAUUUUGAAGUCUAUGUAUUGGACUAAAUAUGUACAGCUGUUGUAUAUGUAUAAAGGUAGUGAUUUUAAGGAAGUGUGAGUGGUGUAAUGAAUUUGAUAGUGUAUGGUGAUUAGUUGAUAAAUUAUUAAAGAGAAGAAAAGUUGGGGAAUUGGAGAUAUAAGAGUAAGUAUAGAAGUUGAGAUGUUAAGUGGUGGAUUUGCAUUACUAUAAUUGUUAAGUUUUAAGAAAUUAUACGUUAUUUCAGGUAGGGAUGUGAAAGUUUAGAAAGGUUCUUUAAUUUAAUCAAAUUUCUAUCCAUAGAUCUGUGAGUGGAAAAACUUAAAUAAUUUCAAGGUAUUAUAAAUUAAGUAUAUUAUUAAGUUAUGUGAAUUAUUUGCUCAAUUAUAUGAUUACCAUAAAAGUUUCUUUUACCAUGAUACAUGUGGAAUUUCAAAGAUUGUAUAUGCUAAAGUUUGUGAUUUGGAAUAUGAGAUGUAAUAUUGAGAUCGAUCAAAAAAGUACCAGUGAUUAUAUACUUCUUCUAGUUCACGGAUGACUACCAGAGGUCUUGAGACCAACUUUCGUUCACGGAGAGGGCCAAAGACCCAUGGUGAAAGUUCUUAGCCCGAGUGACGGAUUUCAGAUUAUUUAGAGGGUACAUUUUUUGCGGAUCACAUGUAAUGUGAUGAGAUCUCGGGGUUUUUUUUUUAGAUUUUAGUUAGAGAGCACAUUUUUGGCGGAUCAUAUGUGAUGUGAUGAGAUGAUAUUUACAGAGUUAUGAGAAUGUCUCUUUUUUGGUAUAAUUGUAUGAGGUUAUCGUGUGAAUUACUAAACGAUAUGAACUUGAUGUCUAC